UAACGCGAAGACCUUACCUACUCUUGACAUCCAGAGAACUUAGCAGAGAUGCUUUGGUGCCUUCGGGAACUCUGAGACAGGUGCUGCAUGGCUGUCGUCAGCUCGUGUUGUGAAAUGUUGGGUUAAGUCCCGCAACGAGCGCAACCCUUAUCCUUUGUUGCCAGCGAUUCGGUCGGGAACUCAAAGGAGACUGCCAGUGAUAAACUGGAGGAAGGUGGGGAUGACGUCAAGUCAUCAUGGCCCUUACGAGUAGGGCUACACACGUGCUACAAUGGCGCAUACAAAGAGAAGCGACCUCGCGAGAGCAAGCGGACCUCAUAAAGUGCGUCGUAGUCCGGAUUGGAGUCUGCAACUCGACUCCAUGAAGUCGGAAUCGCUAGUAAUCGUGGAUCAGAAUGCCACGGUGAAUACGUUCCCGGGUCUUGUACACACCGA
rnacentral:rRNA from 2 species